AUUUUGGACAAUGGGCGCAAGCCUGAUCCAGCCAUGCCGCGUGCAGGAUGAAGGCCUUCGGGUUGUAAACUGCUUUUGUACGGAACGAAAAGACUCUGGUUAAUACCUGGGGUCCAUGACGGUACCGUAAGAAUAAGCACCGGCUAACUACGUGCCAGCAGCCGCGGUAAUACGUAGGGUGCGAGCGUUAAUCGGAACUACUGGGCGUAAAGCGUGCGCAGGCGGUUAUGUAAGACAGAUGUGAAAUCCCCGGGCUCAACCUGGGAACUGCAUUUGUGACUGCAUAGCUAGAGUACGGCAGAGGGGGAUGGAAUUCCGCGUGUAGCAGUGAAAUGCGUAGAUAUGCGGAGGAACACCGAAGGCGAAGGCAAUCCCCUGGGCCUGUACUGACGCUCAUGCACGAAAGCGUGGGGAGCAAACAGGAUUAGAUACCCUGGUAGUCCACGCCCUAAACGAUGUCAACUGGUUGUUGGGUCUUCACUGACUCAGUAACGAAGCUAACGCGUGAAGUUGACCGCCUGGGGAGUANCGNGCNNCGCAANGGNUNNUNNGNAAACUCAAAGGAAUUGACGGGGACCCGCACAAGCGGUGGAUGAUGUGGUUUAAUUCGAUGCAACGCGAAAAACCUUACCCACCUUUGACAUGUAUGGAAUCCUGAAGAGAUUUGGGAGUGCUCGAAAGAGAGCCAUAACACAGGUGCUGCAUGGCUGUCGUCGGCUCGUGUCGUGAGAUGUUGGGUUAAGUCCCGCAACGAGCGCAACCCUUGCCAUUAGUUGCUACGAAAGGGCACUCUAAUGGGACUGCCGGUGACAAACCGGAGGAAGGUGGGGAUGACGUCAAGUCCUCAUGGCCCUUAUAGGUGGGGCUACACACGUCAUACAAUGGCUGGUACAGAGGGUUGCCAACCCGCGAGGGGGAGCCAAUCCCAUAAAGCCAGUCGUAGUCCGGAUCGCAGUCUGCAACUCGACUGCGUGAAGUCGGAAUCGCUAGUAAUCGCGGAUCAGA
rnacentral:rRNA from 1 species